CUGGCGGCGUGCCUAACACAUGCAAGUCGAGCGGGGACAGGGCUUCGGCCCUGUUCUAGCGGCGGACGGGUGAGUAACGCGUGAAGAAUCUGUCCCAUGCAGGGGGAUAACAGGUGGAAACAUCUGCUAAUACCGCAUAAGACCACGAGGCCGCAUGGCCAUGGGGUCAAAGGAGCAAUCCGGCAAGGGGUGACUUCGCGUCUGAUUAGCUAGUUGGCGGGGUAACGGCCCACCAAGGCGACGAUCAGUAGCCGACCUGAGAGGGUGAUCGGCCACACUGGAACUGAGAGACGGUCCAGACUCCUACGGGAGGCAGCAGUGGGGAAUAUUGGGCAAUGGGCCGAAAGCCUGACCCAGCAACGCCGCGUGAGGGAAGAAGGUUUUCGGAUUGUAAACCUCUGUCCUAUGGGAAGAAGGAAGUGACGGUACCAUAGGAGGAAGCCCCGGCUAACUACGUGCCAGCCGCUGC
rnacentral:rRNA from 1 species